ACGGAAGGCAGCAGUGAGGAAUAUUGGUCAAUGGGCGAGAGCCUGAACCAGCCAAGUCGCGUGAAGGAUGAAGGUUCUAUGGAUUGUAAACUUCUUUUGUUCGAGGGUAAAGUGAGGGAUGCGUCCCUUAUUGCAAGUAUCGAACGAAUAAGCAUCGGCUAACUCCGUGCCAGCAGCCGCGGUAAUACGGAGGAUGCGAGCGUUAUCCGGAUUUAUUGGGUUUAAAGGGUGCGUAGGCGGGAUGUUAAGUCAGCGGUGAAAGCGUGUAGCUCAACUAUACCAAGCCGUUGAAACUGGCGUUCUUGGGUGUAAACGAGGUAGGCGGAAUGUGACGUGUAGCGGUGAAAUGCUUAGAUAUGUCACAGAACCCCGAUUGCGAAGGCAGCUUACCAGCAUACAACUGACGCUGAGGCACGAAAGUGCGGGGAUCAAACAGGAUUAGAUACCCUGGUA
rnacentral:rRNA from 1 species